rnacentral:rRNA from 1 species
UACGAAGGGGGCUAGCGUUGCUCGGAAUGACUGGGCGUAAAGGGCGCGUAGGCGGUUUGUACAGUCAGGUGUGAAAUUCCCGGGCUCAACCUGGGGGCUGCACUUGAUACGUAUGGACUUGAGUGAGAAAGAGGGUCGUGGAAUUCCCAGUGUAGAGGUGAAAUUCGUAGAUAUUGGGAGGAACACCAGUGGCGAAGGCGGUUACCUGGAGCCUUGCUGACGCUGAUGCGCGAAAGCGUGGGGAGCGAUCCGG